CACGCGAAGUGGAGAAGUCUCAUGCAGGGAAGGAUGAAAGACUGUCUCAUCAGUGUUGACCUACCUCAGUCUCCAGACGGAUUCAGCUGCAUAAUUAGGAUGCAAUAUCUGAACCCCACUGGUCAGGCUAUAAAGAGCAGAAAUCGAGACUCAUCAGACCAGGCAACAUUUUUCCAGUCUUCAACAGUCCAAUUUUGAUGCGCCUUGACAACAUUCGACUCGCCAGGGGGACGGACAACAUUUUAUUGCUUUUGUAUACCUUGUUUUUUGUUUUGAGGUGACUGAGGAUAUGUCUAUUCAUUGUCAGUGGAGCCGCAUAUCUUUAUGUAUUCGGUCUAUGGGUGGUGUGAUAUUGUGGUGAAAGCUAGGUAUGAGUGUCUACAAGGGACCCUACAUGGGGGGUCGCUCCACACUUGUGGGGUUGUCCAACCAUGUGGUUUCCUGACAGUUAGGGGCCGCCACUCUAGUUUUGGAGUGAUGACCCCUUUCUUCACUUUUCCAGCAAUGCCAUGUUAUUUACACACCAUUACUACUUAAAUGGGGAGACCCCUCUGUUUCUGGUUGACUUAAGAACCUAAGUAUCCAGUAUUAUUUUACACACUUGUCUCUUUCCUGUAUUAAGAUUACUUAAAUAUAUGCCAGCCCUUUGUUAUUGCUCUACAGGCACUUUUGCCCUUUUUCAUAGGCUGGUCGCACCCCAAUAACAGCUAGGGUGCAUGUCAGUGAUCACUGACUAUAGAGCGAUUAGCCCUCUAGUUUUCCCCAUUUAAAGAUGGGUGACGCCCAUUCCUGAGUGGCUUGGUGAACGCCAAUAUUGUCGUGCAUAAAUGCUGUCUGUUGCCUGGUGAGCCUAAUCUUUUGAUCUAUUCAUUGAAUAAUCAUUUGCAUAUGAAGUCUACAGGUGCAAUCAUGUUUUGUAAUGUAUAUUAAUCGUGGGAUUAUAUGAUUUGGUUCACUCACUGUAUUAUGUGUGGGGAUAUGAUAAUCAGGGUACAAUUGUAUGAAUACAUCAUGAUGUACUAUGGCACUAUGCACUUUUUAUGACACUAUUUCUGUAUUUUAUGUCUAAUUAUGUAUAUUGAUUCAUGAUUCAUUGCACAUGCAUUUUGUAAAUAUAUAUCUCAUCUGCUCACAUAUAUGCUCAUAUACCAUAUGUAACUGCUUGAGAAAGCCUCUAGGGUUAAGCUGAAACGUUGUGUAUCCACAUGGGUGA